rnacentral:rRNA from 1 species
AGUGAACGCUGGCGGCAGGCCUAACACAUGCAAGUCGAACGGCAGCACAGUAAGAGCUUGCUCUUACGGGUGGCGAGUGGCGGACGGGUGAGGAAUACAUCGGAAUCUACUUUUUAGUGGGGGAUAACGUAGGGAAACUUACGCUAAUACCGCAUACGACCUACGGGUGAAAGCAGGGGAUCUUCGGACCUUGCGCGAUUGAAUGAGCCGAUGUCGGAUUUGUUAGUUGGCGGGGUAAAGGCCCACCAAGGCGACGAUCCGUAGCUGGUCUGAGAGGAUGAUCAGCCACACUGGAACUGAGACACGGUCCAGACUCCUACGGGAGGCAGCAGUGGGGAAUAUUGGACAAUGGGCGCAAGCCUGAUCCAGCCAUACCGCGUGGGUGAAGAAGGCCUUCGGGUUGUAAAGCCCUUUUGUUGGGAAGGAAAAGCAGCAGGUUAAUACCCCGCUGUUCUGACGGUACCCAAAGAAUAAGCACCGGCUAACUUCGUG